rnacentral:rRNA from 1 species
GAUGAACGCUGGCGGCGUGCCUAAUACAUGCAAGUCGAACGAAUCUUCUUCGGAAGAUGAGUGGCGAACGGGUGAGUAAUACAUAGGUAACCUGCCCCUGUGCGGGGGAUAACAGGAGGAAACUCCUGCUAAUACCGCAUAGCCAUGAGCACCGCAUGGAGCUCAUGCCAAAUAUCCUUCCGGGGAUAGCGCAGGGAUGGACCUAUGGCGCAUUAGCUGGUUGGCGGGGCAACGGCCCACCAAGGCAACGAUGCGUAGCCGGCCUGAGAGGGGGGACGGCACCAUUGGGACUGAGACACGGCCCAGACUCCUACGGGAGGCAGCAGUAGGGAAUUUUCGGCAAUGGGGGAAACCCUGACCGAGCAACGCCGCGUGAGCGAAGAAGGCCUUCGGGUCGUAAAGCUCUGUUGUAAAGGAAGAACGGCGCAUACAGGAAAUGGUAUGCGAGUGACGGUACUUUACCAGAAAGCCACGGCUAACUACGUGCCAGCAGCCGCAGUAACAC